rnacentral:rRNA from 1 species
GUGCCAGCCGCCGCGGUAAUACGUAGGUGGCAAGCGUUGUCCGGAUUUAUUGGGCGUAAAGCGAGCGCAGGCGGUUUCUUAAGUCUGAUGUGAAAGCCUUCGGCUCAACCGAAGAAGUGCAUCGGAAACUGGGAAACUUGAGUGCAGAAGAGGACAGUGGAACUCCAUGUGUAGCGGUGAAAUGCGUAGAUAUAUGGAAGAACACCAGUGGCGAAGGCGGCUGUCUGGUCUGUAACUGACGCUGAGGCUCGAAAGCAUGGGUAGCAAACAGGAUUAGAUACCCUGGUAGUCCAUGCCGUAAACGAUGAGUGCUAGGUGUUGGAGGGUUUCCGCCCUUCAGUGCCGCAGCUAACGCAUUAAGCACUCCGCCUGGGGAGUACGACCGCAAGGUUGAAACUCAAAGGAAUUGACGGGGGCCCGCACAAGCGGUGGAGCAUGUGGUUUAAUUCGAAGCAACGCGAAGAACCUUACCAGGUCUUGACAUCCUUUGACCACUCUAGAGAUAGAGCUUUCCCUUCGGGGACAAAGUGACAGGUGGUGCAUGGUUGUCGUCAGCUCGUGUCGUGAGAUGUUGGGUUAAGUCCCGCAACGAGCGCAACCCUUAUUACUAGUUGCCAGCAUUUAGUUGGGCACUCUAGUGAGACUGCCGGUGACAAACCGGAGGAAGGUGGGGACGACGUCAAAUCAUCAUGCCCCUUAUGACCUGGGCUACACACGUGCUACAAUGGAUGGUACAACGAGUUGCGAGACCGCGAGGUUUAGCUAAUCUCUUAAAACCAUUCUCAGUUCGGAUUGUAGGCUGCAACUCGCCUACAUGAAGCCGGAAUCGCUAGUAAUCGCGGAUCAGCAUGCCGCGGUGAAUACGAUCCCGGGCCUUGUACACACCGCCCGU